CCGCCUUGUUUUUGCUUUUAAAUCUUGUUUUAAGCAAAGUUGUUCACCAAAACAAUGUAUUUUCUAAAGAAUCAAUCAAUAUGAAGAAACACAUGGUUUAAAUGAAUAAUUUUGGUACACAUUGUUUAAAUGAAUAAUUUUGGUGGUUUGGAUGUGUGUGAAUGGGCCGUGAGUUUGGGUGUGUAAGUAUAUGUGUUUGUUGUUUGGUACAUAUGCUUAAAAGAUGUUAGAUUGAACAUGCAAGUAUGGUUUUGUUAUGUAAUGAACCAAAUCUGAUUUUGAGUAUGCUUUUAUGUUUAAAAAUGUUUUAUAAUGUGUAUGGAUGAAAACUACAUUGCUUGGAUGUGUUGGGUUAAAGAUUAGUACACUAGAUGUUAAUAAAUGAGUGGAUUUAUGCAUGCAUGUAAAGAUGGUUUUAGGGCAGGUUAUAAACUGAAAUUUUAUUAUGUUUUUUCCCUAACAUAGUUCAUGAAAAUGUAUGGAUGCUUGUCUAGAUGUUUGAUGUAUGAUUCGGUGCCCUAGAAAGCGGGGUAAAUGUGGAGAUUUAUUUAUGCAUACGAGAACUAAGUUACAAUAUGAUUUUUAUGAAGUAAUGAAGUUUUAUUUGUUAUAUAAUAUCUGGUCAUAAAGUUAUGAUAGGAGAUUUGGUGAUUUCAGUGGUUUAUGAAGCUUAUUUGGUGUUAAAAGUGUGCUAAAUGUGUAGAUUUUAACAUGCUAUUGAUGGAUAUUUUUAGAUCUGAAAAUAAUGAUGUAUAAAUAGUAUGUGGAGUCUAGAACUCAGGUUAAUAAGUAGGAACAUGAAAAUGAUGGUUAAACACAAAACUAUGUUGUGUAGCAUGCUUGAAAAGCCGAAUAAAUGACAAUUUUGUACAUAAAAUGGGUUUGUAAAUGAGAUCUGGCCUAGAACAGAAAUUCUGAUGUAUUUCUAGUGGAAAUAACUUAUUAUGAGGUAUAUUAUAGUUUGAAAAAGUGUUUGGGUGUUAUUGGUAACUUUUGAGGUUAAAACGGGGAUAUUUCGGUAAGUUUUUAGGGAUGUAAAGGUCAUGUAUGAUGAAUCUGAUUAGAACAGAAUAUUUGGACAUGUUUUAAGAGGAAAAUAUGUGAUAUAGGUUGUAUGUUAGGAUGAUGAAGUGUAUGGGUGAAUAUAGCUGUGUAUAUGCAUGUUUUGACGUUAUUUCAAGAUGAGAAGUGUAGCAUGUUUUAGUAGAUUUCGCAUAGGAAACAUUUUGUGUGAAUGGCAUGUGUGAUACUUGUUAUUAUGGUGACUUAGUUGCUAAAUGAUUAUUAACAUGAUAACAUGAUGAGAUUAUGUGGAUAAGAUACUAAAGUUAGUCUGGAUGCAUGCAAAUUGCCUUAGUGACAUGUUGGGUUUCUUUAACCAAAGGUGCUAGAUAAUAGCAAUGAUUUUAACAAGAUGUGAUUAAUUACUUAUAAUAUAAUAACACACCGGUCUUUGAGUCACCAAUGGGUCAUUUGUGUAAUGGGUUUUAUUUUAAAAGGAAAUGUUUUAUCGAGAUAAGUGAGUUGGGUGAACAACUUGCAUGAUAAACUAGUAGUGUGAUUAUUAAAGUGUCCCUCGUAUAUAGGGUGUUGAUAGGUCGAGUAUUAUUUGGACGAUUGUUGCUUAAAGCUAUGGUUGUCGGUAUUUUGGCAAUGACACAGAUGGAAUAGGUGGAACCUUUGUUUGAAAGGCGUUCAAAUUUAGUAGAAUUCUUAGACAAAGUUUUUUCGCUGCUUUGAAAUGGUACCAAAAGCUCAGGACCGGCCCGUGUUGUCGGGGUGUGACACAAGAGACUAUGUUUUUCAUAUACAAGAAACUCUUUGUAAAACAUGGAACGGAUAUCCUCGAACCUAAAGUCGAUGCCCCUUGCAACUGUCUGCGCGGUAUCACCCGCACAUGUAAAACCCCCACUGACAUUUUUACAGAUGUAUUUAAAGAGCAAAAUCUACCUCGUAGUGAAGUCUUGAACCUCAUCGAUGUAGCUCAAAUCCAUCAUGUCACCUUUAUAUUCUACUUUUUUAAAAGCGACGGUGGAUGUCGAUUACUACAUUAGACGAAUCAAAUUCCCCGCGUUCACUCUUCCUAUUAUCAUAGGCUUGAUAAAGGGUGUAAAUGUUCUCUUUUCUCUCAUUUAUCAAUGUGGAGGUGCGAUUUUCUACUAGUGAUCUAUAACCUUCAAGACUCAUUUUACCAUCAAUGGUUUCCCGAAUUUGCUGACCCCUUUUAUGUGUGAAACAGUUUCAUGUAUACCCAAGAGGGAUCGAGUUUCUUUUUGAGCUUUGAAUCGAACCGAGGCUUGUAAUCUGAAUGAAACAUCUCAAAGUGACUUCCUUUGAUCUAAUUGAACUUUGCAAUGCAACUGAUCCAACGUGAGAACUUCUUCUUACCUCAUGAAAUCUCUCAAAAAACGAACUUUCCAACAGGCCAUCUUGCAACAACAGAAACUCUUGGUAAGUUAAUACAAGAGGAUAUCUUUCUAUAGGAAUUCCAACCAACAAAUUUGGGAUAUCCCUGUCCUCAAAAUUGAACUCUGCUUGAGGACAUGAAACAAUGUCAAAAAAAUCAAAUCUUGAUGUCAGAAUACAUAAUCAUUGUAUGGAAAGAUUAACAACAAUAAUAAAAGAUAUCAGAAUUUGGUA